AGAGUUUGAUCCUGGCUCAGGACGAACGCUGGCGGCGUGCUUAACACAUGCAAGUCGAACGCUGAACCCGCUUCGGUGGGGGAUGAGUGGCGAACGGGUGAGUAACACGUGGGCAACCUGCCCCCGGCUCUGGGAUAACUCCAAGAAAUUGGGGCUAAUACCGGAUAUCCACCGCUGGCCGCAUGGUGUGGUGGUGGAAAGGGUUUCCGGCUGGGGAUGGGCCCGCGGCCUAUCAGCUUGUUGGUGGGGUAGUGGCCUACCAAGGCGACGACGGGUAGCCGGCCUGAGAGGGUGACCGGCCACACUGGGACUGAGACACGGCCCAGACUCCUACGGGAGGCAGCAGUGGGGAAUAUUGCGCAAUGGGCGGAAGCCUGACGCAGCGACGCCGCGUGGGGGAUGACGGCCUUCGGGUUGUAAACCUCUUUCAGCAGGGACGAAGCGCAAGUGACGGUACCUGCAGAAGAAGCACCGGCCAACUACGUGCCAGCAGCCGCGGUAAUACGUAGGGUGCAAGCGUUGUCCGGAAUUAUUGGGCGUAAAGAGCUCGUAGGCGGUUGGUCGCGUCGGCUGUGAAAACCCGGAGCUCAACUCCGGGCCUGCAGUCGAUACGGGCCGACUUGAGUGUUGCAGGGGAGACUGGAAUUCCUGGUGUAGCGGUGAAAUGCGCGAUAUCAGGAGGAACACCGGUGGCGAAGGCGGGUCUCUGGGCAACAACUGACGCUGAGGAGCGAAAGCGUGGGGAGCGAACAGGAUUAGAUACCCUAGUAGUCC
rnacentral:rRNA from 1 species